UACUUUAACUUCAGUCGCUUGAAUUGACGCAUGGCGCGCGCUGGCAUUCGCUUUGCUGAAUCCACGAUCACGAUCUCGAGAUUAAACAUUUUGAUUUAGGCUACUCAUUCUUUUCUUUCUACGGAUAAACAAUGGCUGGGAGAAGUGCUUCUUCGUUAUGGAUGGGAGAUAUUGAUCAGUACAUGGACGAGAGGGUGAUCGCUGAAGCCUUCAGUAUGAUGGGAGAACAUGUUUUAUCGGUUAAACUUCUCAAAGAUCACAAGACUGGGCAGAACAGGAAUUAUUGUUUUGUUGAGUUGACAAGUAAGGAAGCCGUCCCCUUGGCUCUCAGAAAACUUACUGGUUUGCCGCUACCAAACUAUCCUGCAAAGCGAUUCAAGUUGAAUUAUUCUCUUCGAGACCAAGGCAACACAUUCCAAACGGCAGGACAAGCCGCCCCAUCCAGUACUCCAAGUCCAUAUGGUAAAGAGUUCUCCAUCUACGUUGGUAACCUCAACACAAGUACAACUGAUGAAGAAUUAUUAGCCCUCUUCUCACAUUACAAAUCUAUCAAGGAAGCAAAGAUUGUCCGAGAUGAUAGCCAGAAUUCCAAGGGCUUUGGCUUUGUACGUUUCUUCAAUGAUACUGACCAAGAAGCAGCUAUCAUGCAGAUGAAUGGAGCCGUAGGUCCCAUGGGUGUCACAUUGAAAGUAGACAGAGCUCAGCCAAAAAAUAGGGAUAUGAAUUCCGGGGGAACAACCGGCGGUAUGAUGCCCAUGGCUAGUGGGGCAACGAUUGCAGCUUAUGCCAACCAGUACCAGACCACCCAGUAUCCCUACCAAGGUGGUAUGGAUCCAUAUUCAGCUUACUCACAGAUGGGUCAACAGAUGCCGCAGCAGCAGCAGGCCUAUCAACCUCCAGUCCAAGCUACCCCUACUCCAGCCCAGCAGACACCCACGUCACAUCCUGCUCAGCAACCGGCUGCUGCUGCCGCCAAGAACGAAGAAGAUGAUGAGACUCUUGAAGGUAAGUGCGAUGCAUUGCAUGAAAAAUGCCGAGUUAGAUUCUUUACUAAUCAAGCCUAAUCAAGCCUUAUUAUUUUGAUUGAUUUGUUAGGGGUACUCCAGGCUGAAGAUUAUUUGCUCUGAACAAAAUAAAGUAAAAUCAGAAAACCAGAACACUAAAAAUUUCUUUGAAUUUUGGGGAGGGAUAACAAAGUUGGAUGGAUUUAAACAUUUAACAAGAAAAAUUAUGUUAUUGGGUGCCCGUUUAAUAUAAAGAUAUCUGCAUAUUUUUUCUUUUUGUUAUAAAACCAGUUCUAACAUAUAUUUGGAUAAUUUUAAGGAUAUCUUUUUAGGUAGCUUUUUGAUAUCCAACCAUUGCAUCUGUAAGAUUCUAAGUGUCCUAAGGUAAACUGAAAUCACACAAGAGAGGGCGCUAUUUCCAGGCUAUAUAUACAAACAGAAUCUUGUGUCAAAUGUUCACACAGAAUUAACAGCUGAAAAAUAUCUAGCUGCACACUUUUGUAAGAUUAGAAUGUAUUAAAUGAUUCUCUACUAUAAUUCGCAUUAUUGGCCCUUGGUACCAAAGCUUUAGAAGGGCUUAAACAUCUUAAAACGAUAUGUUUCUCUUUUUAUUGCCAUAGAUCACAGUGCACCGGUGAACAUGGUAGCAACGAACCUAGCCUACAUUCAAGCCAACCAAGAUUUUUACAAGAAGCUCGCCGAGUCCCGUUGGCAUCCUAUCACCUCCUACUCAGCCACAAUAGAAGAAGUCUGUAAAUAGAGGGCGCUAGUACUUGAAGCCCUUUCCCAGAAGAGUAGCAACACUCUAGACAGCUGAAAUCUGUCUUUUUGGAGAAACAUUUUAUGACCAUUGGUGUCUUCUGCACAGACUGUGUGCUAACUUACACACAGUUUGAGGAAUCUGUACCCCAUAAGCUCAAUGUUUUAUUCUCAGAGAAGCAGGGGCUUUGAUUUUUCUUCAAUGAUUCUUAUUUUGAUAUGAAAUUGCACCAAGGAGGUGCUGAGUUCUAAGACUCUGAUCAGUCAUGGACCUAUAUUUUCAUGAAAAAAUUUGGAUUAAAAUAAAUUAGAAAUCAAUAACUAAUUUUUGGGUUCCUUGUGCACAGUGGGAGAAUGACUUCAAUCUAUGGAGGAGGUCUAGUGACAACACAUAGUCCAACAAAGGAAACAAUGAAAGAGACUUCUUGUCAUCAUGGUCGGCUGACAUCCCUAAACACAAUUGCCCGUAUUCUGAAGUAUGGUUUAAAUUAGAACGCGGUCUAACUCAGUGCUAAAAUUAUCCAGAGCCAAAAACUCUAAAAUUUUGUUUACAUCGUAUAAUCACACGUUUACUGUUUUGUUUCCUUUGCUUUCAUAAUGAAGAAAAACACUUAUCAUUCCCAGAAGGUAUGAAUGAUUUGAGUGUCAUGUGAGUUAAUAAAUUGAAUGUGUACUAAUAGAGAUUUGUCUCCAAAUUGGCUAUCCAUAGUUUAACCACAACUUUAAACCAGGGUUUAAUUUAAACCCAAGUUCGGAAUACAGGCCAAUAUGACAUUACCAUUAUAUUGAUGGCAAAUGAGGAGGUGUUCUUUGGACUCAAUCAGAUUAUUUAUGUAAAAAUUAAAGCACAGUGGUUCAAUUUGUUGCUACUCUUCUCUGUAAAGAUAUUGUAUUCCCAAAAUGGUAUCUUGUGUAUUUAUGUGCCUGUUUACAGCCAACAAUGUGACCUUGGACUACUUCACUCGGUACAUAAUGUCAAUGAAAGGAAAGAUUUUGAGGCUCCAAGACCUAAGUGACCAAUCAGAAAUGUUUCUGGUGUUGCUACUAUCCUAGUAUACCUCGCUGCCCUUCCCACAGAACUCAUAUGAUUAUGAUAUGUAUUCUGAACAUUGCAGUAAACAGGGAUGUCUAAUGACCAAUGAAAAGUAUAUCUCAAAUGGAACACAGAAAUAGGUGUAUGAAAACACCCCCCCCCCCC